rnacentral:rRNA from 1 species
UACGUAGGUGGCGAGCGUUAUCCGGGAUGAUUGGGCGUAAAGGGUGCGUAGGCGGCCUGCUAAGUCUGGAGUGAAAGGUACCGGCUCAACCGGUACAGGCUCUGGAAACUGGCGGGCUAGAGAGCAGGAGAGGGCGGUGGAACUCCAUGUGUAGCGGUAAAAUGCGUAGAUAUAUGGAAGAACACCAGUGGCGAAGGCGGCCGCCUGGCCUGUUGACUGACGCUGAGGCACGAAAGCGUGGGGAGCAAAUAGG